rnacentral:rRNA from 1 species
UACGGGGGGGGCAAGCGUUGUUCGGAAUUACUGGGCGUAAAGGGCUCGUAGGUGGCCAACUAAGUCAGACGUGAAAACUCCAGGCUCAACCUGGAGACGCCACCCGAUACUGCCAUGGCUAGAGUCCGGUAGGGGACCACGGAAUUCCUGGUGUAGCGGUGAAAUGCGCAGAUAUCAGGAGGAACACCGGUGGCGAAGGCGGUGGUCUGGGCCGGCACUGACGCUGAGGAGCGAAAGCGUGGGGAGCGAACAGG